rnacentral:rRNA from 1 species
CAGCCGCCGCGGGAAUACGAAGGGGGCUAGCGUUGUUCGGAAUUACUGGGCGUAAAGCGCACGUAGGCGGACAUUUAAGUCAGGGGUGAAAUCCCGGGGCUCAACCCCGGAACUGCCUUUGAUACUGGGUGUCUAGAGUAUGGAAGAGGUGAGUGGAAUUCCGAGUGUAGAGGUGAAAUUCGUAGAUAUUCGGAGGAACACCAGUGGCGAAGGCGGCUCACUGGUCCAUUACUGACGCUGAGGUGCGAAAGCGUGGGGAGCAAACAGGAUUAGAUACCCCUGUAGUCCCUGUCUCUUAUAC